GGUCCUAUGGUGCAGUGGUUAGCAUGGUGCUCUUAUACUUAUAUACAAUUGUAUUGAACAUAUGAGUUAUGCAUAGGUCGUGGGUUCAAUCCCCACUAGGACCA